rnacentral:lncRNA from 1 species
AUGACGUCUGUGACACAGAUGGGUCAAAGGUGUGCUGAGGGGGGAAAGCUGAUCUCCAAAGGUCACACUCUUGAGACGACAAAAAGUGUGGCUAUGGGGACAGACGGUGGCCACCAGGUGGUGGUGCGGCACAGGGGUAACACGAGGGGGCCCAUUGGAAGGCGCCGUCUCCACCGUGCAGGCACACACACUUGCACGCACUUGUGGAGACACGUGUACACACGUGCACACAGGCACACAGGCGCACGUGCACACCCACAAGCACACAUGUGCAAGCACAGGCAGGCGCACAGGCACGAUGCACACACACACGCCAGUGCCGGUGGCACUGGUAGCAAUGGAGCAGGUCCGUGGACCAGGUCAACCUGGCACUCGGGCCACGCGAGGCGUCACUGUCGCGGACACGGGCGGAAGGGAGCGCCGUCAUUUCUCACGACAGCACAUGAGUCUACAAGGGUCUCGAAACAAGAAAGCGAAGAACGCAUCUAUGGCCCUGCGGAGAAGCGGCCGGCACGACCCGACGUUGGACGUGCGCCCAGGGGACCUGAGGCGGAGUCUGCUGCGUGCGUCCCCGAGCCGCUCUCAGAGGACGCACUCUGCCCUUCACCGGGGCCCGGGCUGGGAUGGGGCACACGGAAUAGGGUAUCGGAGAGGGAACGUCACCAGCGGGAGGAGCGGGACAGUGAGGUGGGGGGCACGGCACUGGGGUGCGGUGGUGCUCUCCCCGGGAGCCGGUGGCGGCCGGGGCCAAGGAGCCCCGUCUGCGGCCAGGUCACCCGUCGCCGUCCCCGCAAGUGCCCGGCUCAUGCCACACAGGCCUUCCGGGGCCGCGCAUCACCCCCCCAUGGAGAGCCGCCCCGGAAAGCCCCGUUCACAGGGAUGCCCACGCGGGGAUCUUCCCAGGCGUGCCCACGAGGCCCGACCGGGGGCUCCAGCUUUGCCCACCGGGGAGCUUCUGAUUUCACUGGGCCCGCGCACUGGUGGGAUUUUAGCUGGGGCAGGGGUGCGUCACGGGGGGCCGGGCUCCCGCUGCCAUCCUGCAGGGGUGAGACCGUCUUCGCCCGGAUGAGCAGAACGAGCGAGAGAGCCAGCCCUCCAGGUGCGUGUUGGCUGGGAGGGCAGCGGCCCGCAGACCGUUAA